rnacentral:rRNA from 1 species
CCUACGGGGGGCAGCAGUGAGGAAUAUUGGUCAAUGGCCGGAAGGCUGAACCAGCCAAGCCGCGUGAAGGACGAAGGUGCCAAGCAUUGUAAACUUCUUUUGUCAAGGGACAAAAUCAGGCUCGAGAGCCUGACCGAGGGUACUUGAAGAAAAAGCAUCGGCUAACUCCGUGCCAGCAGCCGCGGUAAUACGGAGGAUGCGAGCGUUAUCCGGAGUGACUGGGUGUAAAGAGUUGCGUAGGUGGCAUAAUAAGUAGCUAGUGAAAUCUGGUGGCUCAACCAUUCAGACUAUUAGCUAAACUGUUAAGCUCGAGAGCGUUAGAGGUAACUGGAAUGCGUGGUGUAGGGGUGAAAUCCAUAGAUAUUAGAAGGAACACCGAUAGCGUAGGCAGGUUGCUGGGACGGUUCUGACACUAAGGCACGAAAGCGUAGGGAGCAAACGGGAUUAGAUACCCGAGUAGUC